rnacentral:rRNA from 1 species
UACGUAGGGUGCAGGCGUUAAUCGGAAUUACUGGGCGUAAAGCGUGCGCAGGCGGUUUCUUAAGUCAGAUGUGAAAGCCCCGGGCUUAACCUGGGAACUGCGUUUGAAACUGGGAGACUUGAGUGUGGCAGAGGGGGGUGGAAUUCCACGUGUAGCAGUGAAAUGCGUAGAUAUGUGGAGGAACACCGAUGGCGAAGGCAGCCCCCUGGGUUAACACUGACGCUCAUGUACGAAAGCGUGGGGAGCAAACAGG